GUGGCUCAGUGGCUCAGUGGCAGAGCACUUGCCUAGCAUGUGUGAGGCUCUGGGUUCAAUCCCCAGCACCACA
rnacentral:tRNA from 1 species